GUCGACUCUAGAGGGGAUCCAGAUCUAUUACCGCGGCUGCUGGCACGUAGUUAGCCGGUGCUUCUUAGUCCGGUACCGUCAUCCAUGUCCUAUGUUAGAGAACACGAUUUCUUCCCGGCCGAAAGAGCUUUACAACCCGAAGGCCUUCUUCACUCACGCGGCAUGGCUGGAUCAGGCUUGCGCCCAUUGUCCAAUAUUCC
rnacentral:rRNA from 1 species